GAGGAAUAAAAAAUAGAAAAAACUGCUAUUUCUUGAGCAUAAAAGUGGUUUUUUAAAGCAAUUUUCGCAUGAAUAUAUUUGUUACAUCAUCACAAUACCCUCUUUCGGUUGUUGGACAAAUUCAUCAGGAGCUAGCACAGGAUGCAUCAAGGUAACAAUGAAAUGAACAAUUAGCAAAGUUCAGUUUCAGGAUGGCGGUUUUGCAUCCAACUGCAAAGCACAGACCAAAACAUGGCAUGGUUGGAGAUGCUUUUUUCCCCAGAGAAUUCAUGACCACAAUUCCCCUCCCCCUUUUGUCCAACUCUCUCUCACCCUUCCCCUUCCCAUUUCUCUUCCCAUCUUUAACAAUGAUGGUCUCCUAUGACCCUUGCCUAGUGCCUCAGCUGCCUUUAGCCACCAGACCAUCCAUCCAUUACUAAUCUCCAGUUAAUUGUCCAUGUAUCGUGCAUGUUGCUUUGCUUGCUAAAGCAAUAAUCAAAAUGUUAUAUCAUUUACACAUAAAGAAAGAAUGAUGCUGUGCUCAAGGACCUCAAGAUCAUCUUAUAUAACUAAGAGAAGAAUGGCUGCUAAAAUGGCCUUAGCUGACUGUAUAUGUACAUGAGAUCCCACCUUCAUCCCACAUAACAAGUGGGAGAAUGAUGUGAUUGUAUAUAGAGCUAGAUGGAUCAACUACCAUUAACUUGGCUUAAACUUAUUGAUAAUAAGUUAAUGAGUUAGUUCUCUCUUUGGAUUGUCAUGAAAACAUGAGAGGAACCAAAAGGAAUAAAAAAACUCACCUACUAAAGAAAAUACUUGAUUGAUACAACAAAAUGUUGUCACUCAUCGAUGAACAAGUAUGUAUGUGAGCUGAUCAAAAGGUGUACAAGAGUGACUAUGAGAGACAAGUGGGUGGCGAAAAAUGAUGCUGAUUGAAGAAUGCUUGGAAACCCAAUAAACUUCUGAAGAUCAAGAACACAUGGAUUAGGGAAGAAUCCUCCCUCUUCAAAGAUGAUAACCUAUGCCAAUGCACCCAUUCCUUCUCCAACACAUGGAUUGGGGAAAUUUUCUCACUUUUUGAAGAUGAUUACCUAUUUCAAUGCCCUAAGUCACUCUAAUCCAUUAAUUGUCAUUACUACUCUAGUUAGAAACAACUUUAACCUCGUCUAAUCCAUUAAAGAAGAAGAAAAUUGGGAAAAUUAUU
rnacentral:lncRNA from 1 species